UCCGUAGGUGAACCUGCGGAAGGAUCAUUACUUUCAGUACUUGGGGGCUGUAAGCCUAUAUCACUAUAGCUUGCCCCUACCUGAACCCUUGUCUUUUGCGUACCUAUGUUUCCUCGGUGGGCUUGCCCGCCGGCUGGACAAACUUAUAACCUUUUUUAAUUUUCAAUCAGCGUCUGAAUAAACAUAAUAAUUACAACUUUCAACAACGGAUCUCUUGGUUCUGGCAUCGAUGAAGAACGCAGCGAAAUGCGAUAAGUAGUGUGAAUUGCAGAAUUCAGUGAAUCAUCGAAUCUUUGAACGCACAUUGCGCCCCUUGGUAUUCCAUGGGGCAUGCCUGUUCGAGCGUCAUUUGUACCCUCAAGCUAUGCUUGGUGUUGGGUGUUUGUCCUCUCCUCUGCGAUUGGACUCGCCUUAAAGACAUUGGCAGCCAGUGUAUUGGUCUUGAAGCGCAGCACAUUUUGCGACUCUUGCUGAUUAUCACUUGCAUCCAGUAAGCCUAUUUUAACACUUUUGACCUCGGAUCAGGUAGGGAUACCCGCUGAACUUAAGCAUAUCAAUAAGCGGAGGGAAGUCGGACUGGCCAAGGGGCACACCAGGGGGGGGGGAUA
rnacentral:rRNA from 1 species